UCCGCUAGCCAGCACCUCGCCUAAACAGGUGUUCUACUCCGCUAGCCAGCACAUCGCCUAAACAGGUGUUCUACUCCGCUAGCCAGCACAUCGCCUAAACAGGUGUUCUACUCCGCUAGCCAGCACAUCGCCUAAACAGGUGUUCUACUCCGCUAGCCAGCACCUCUCCUAAACAGGUGUUCUCCUCCGCUAGCCAGCACCUCGCCUAAACAGGUGUUCUCCUCCGCUAGCCAGCACCUCGCCUAAACAGGUGUUCUCCUCCGCUAGCCAGCACCUCGCCUAAACAGGUGUUCUACUCCGCUAGCCAGCACCUCGCCUAAACAGGUGUUCUACUCCGCUAGCCAGCACCUCGCCUAAACAGGUGUUCUACUCCACUAGCCAGCACCUCGCCUAAACAGGUGUUCUAC